rnacentral:lncRNA from 1 species
CGAUUGCUUGCAGGACGAGUGCCCUAGUGGCCGGGUGUUGCGCUCCACAAGAUCGUGACAGCCAUUGGAGGCGGUGUAUCGGUUGCUAAGGCGCGGUAUUAGAAGGCUGUAGUCGGGCCGUGAACGUCAUCUCCAUUCACUAAUCGAGUUACCCAGCGCCUCUCAUCGAAAGAUCAGGCGAAAACCCUAGUGGGUUCACAUCAGUUGGUAUCAGAGCAAGGUUUAUCGGUGAGAGAUUUCCAAUUCUUCGUGUUUGUUUUUCCUAUAGUCCAAAAAAAGACAAAAAAUAUAGCAGAUUUGUUUUCCAUAAUCCUAUAAGUCCUUUGUGCCGUGGCUAGUACUACUUAGUUAGGGCUGGUUGAAUGAGUGUUUGCUUCGGUCGUGUCGAGUGCUGGUUUUAGUUUAGUCCUUUAGAGUUUUGAGUUCUUGUCACCAUCUAGUCACAGCUACGUCCAAUCUAUUGUGGGUUGGAAUUUGAGUAGAUCUUGAUAAUAGGUGCAGCCACUUGUUGGUCUAUUCUGUGUUUCCGUCAACGUGAUCCAAAAGGAAAGAUAGCACUUCAUACUUGUGCUAGAUAUAUUGAAUUUUGAGGUUCAGCCUUACUCUAGUGAGAGGGUGAGAGUGGUGAAGUGAUAUUUUGUACUAUUUUGUUUAUAUAAUCAGGUUUUGAGGUUCCCAAAAAAAAAGAAAAGAGAAAAAAAAUAAAGAAAAAAAAAGAAAGAAAGAAAAAAAUCAAAAAAAGGGGAUUGUUGUUCCUUUUGUUUCUAGUAGGGCUGCUCAUUUUGUUUCUAGUGGUGUGCUGUGUUUUCCCUUUGUGUCCAGGCUCGCGUCUCUAGCACGGUCUAGGCUAGGACCAGCACAGUACCACCGUUGAGCGUUUAUUCAGCUCGCUUUUAUAACUAACGUGGUGCUAGUUCGUUCCUUGUUUCAGCCCACCUAUAGCUCCACAUACUCUACAGCUUGACAGGUCUUGUGCUGCAGCACUGAUACACUUCGUCCAUUGCUGUACACUUAUUGGCAGACGACCCCUCCUGUCAAGCAAGGUAAGAAUUGGUAAGAACUUGUGUUACAGGUUGAGUGUGAGCGACUUGCUGUAGCUACAUCCUAGUAGUUGUAGGGCUUUUAUUUCUUCACUUGCCUUUUUGUUGUCUUUGUCUUUGAACCAUGCCAGGGACAGAUGAUGGUAACGAAACACCACUUACACCUCGCACUAAGGGCAUCAUACAACAUUUUGAAAGGAAAGUGAAGCUGCACAC